rnacentral:rRNA from 1 species
GACGGAGGAUGCAAGUGUUAUCCGGAAUCACUGGGCGUAAAGCGUCUGUAGGUGGUUCGAAAAGUCCACUGUUAAAAAUUGAGGCUUAACUUCAAAGAUGCUGUGGAAACUUUCAAACUAGAGUAUGGUAGGGGUAGAGGGAAUUUCCAGUGGAGCGGUGAAAUGCGUAGAUAUUGGAAAGACCACCGAUGGCGAAGGCAGCCUUCUGGGCCAACACUGACGCUCAUGCACGAAAGCGUGGGGAGCAAACAGG